UACGUAGGGGCCGAGCGUUGUCCGGAGUUACUGGGCGUAAAGCGCGCGCAGGCGGCUCGUCAAGCCUGACGUGAAAGCCCCCGGCUCAACCGGGGAGGGUCGUCGGGGACUGGCGAGCUUGAGGUCGGCAGGGGCUGGUGGAAUUCCCGGUGUAGUGGUGAAAUGCGUAGAGAUCAGGCGGAACACCCGUGGCGAAGGCGGCCAGCUGGGCCGUCCCUGACGCUGAGGCGCGAAGGCGUGGGGAGCGAACGGG
rnacentral:rRNA from 1 species